GACGAACGCUGGCGGCGUGCUUAACACAUGCAAGUCGAACGGUAAGGCCCUUCGGGGUACACGAGAGGCGAACGGGUGAGUAACACGUGGGUGAUCUGCCCUGCACUUCGGGAUAAGCCUGGGACACUGGGUCUAAUACCGGAUAGGACUCCGGACUGCAUGGUCUGGGGUGGAAAGCUUUUGCGGUGUGGGAUGGGCCCGCGGCCUAUCAGCUGGUUGGUGGGGUGAUGGCCUACCAAGGCGACGACGGGUAGCCGGCCUGAGAGGGUGACCGGCCACACUGGGACUGAGAUACGGCCCAGACUCCUACGGGAGGCAGCAGUGGGGAAUAUUGCACAAUGGGCGCAAGCCUGAUGCAGCGACGCCGCGUGAGGGAUGACGGCCUUCGGGUUGUAAACCUCUUUCAGCAUCGACGAAGCGAAAGUGACGGUAGGUGCAGAAGAAGGACCGGCCAACUACGUGCCAGCAGCCGCGGUAA
rnacentral:rRNA from 1 species